GCCCUCCUGACGCGACACUGCCCCUCUCCGAGAGCUGAGAAGGAAAAGAGGAGCUUGCGGAGGUGCGGCUGCAGGCCGUUGUUGGUCGAGCUGGCGGGUCCCGCGGGCCAGGCCGUGGAGGUGUUACCUCAUUUUGAAAGUCUUGGGAAACAGGAAAAAAUUCCUAACAAAAUGUCAGCUUUUCGAAAUCAUUGUCCACAUUUGGAUUCAGUUGGUGAAAUAACAAAAGAAGAUUUGAUACAAAAAUCCCUUGGUACUUGUCAGGAUUGUAAAGUCCAAGGACCAAAUCUUUGGGCAUGUCUGGAGAAUAGAUGUUCAUAUGUUGGCUGUGGUGAAUCACAAGUAGAUCACAGCACCAUACAUUCUCAGGAGACAAAGCAUUAUCUAACUGUGAACCUUACCACUCUUCGAGUAUGGUGUUAUGCUUGCAGCAAAGAAGUAUUUUUGGAUAGGAAAUUAGGAACUCAGCCUUCAUUGCCUCAUGUAAGACAACCUCACCAAAUACAAGAAAACAGUGUCCAGGAUUUUAAAAUACCCAGUAAUACAACAUUAAAAACUCCUCUGGUUGCCGUAUUUGAUGAUCUGGAUAUAGAAGCGGAUGAAGAAGAUGAACUUAGGGCCAGAGGUCUUACAGGUUUGAAAAAUAUUGGAAAUACUUGUUACAUGAAUGCAGCUUUGCAGGCUCUUUCUAAUUGCCCACCUUUGACACAGUUUUUUCUUGAUUGUGGAGGACUAGCUCGAACAGAUAAGAAACCUGCCAUUUGUAAAAGUUAUCUCAAACUAAUGACAGAGCUGUGGCAUAAAAGCAGGCCAGGAUCUGUUGUGCCUACUACUCUGUUUCAAGGAAUUAAAACUGUAAAUCCAACAUUUCGGGGGUAUUCUCAGCAGGAUGCUCAAGAAUUCCUUCGAUGUUUAAUGGAUUUGCUUCAUGAAGAAUUGAAAGAGCAAGUCAUGGAAGUAGAAGAAGAUCCGCAAACCAUAACCACUGAGGAGACAAUGGAAGAAGACAAGAGCCAGUCGGAUGUAGAUUUUCAGUCUUGUGAAUCUUGUAGCAACAGUGAUAGAGC
rnacentral:lncRNA from 1 species